GUAUGUUGUUGUUCCAGUGCAACACGGCUGUAUGUUGUUGUUCCAGUGCAACACGGCUGUAUGUUGUUGUUCCAGUGCAACACGGCUGUAUGUUGUGUUCCUCAUGGUGUUUAACGGUCAGCGAAUGGAGGAAAUAAACGUUGGUAUCAGACAAGAAAACCACGGUAGUGCAGCGACAAUCACUGCUUAAUUGCCUCAGGAUAAUGUACUGUAUAUAGCAGGAUAAUGUACUGUAUAUAGCAGGAUAAUGUACUGUAUAUAGCAGUAUGGUGCAGGAUAAUGUACUGUAUAUAGCAGGAUAAUGUACUGUAUAUAGCAGGAUGGUGCAUGAUAAUGUACUGUAUAUAGCAGCAUGGAGCAGGAUAAUGCAUUGUGUAUAUAGCAGGAUAAUGUACUGUAUAUAGCAGUAUGGUGCAGGAUAAUGUACUGUAUGUAGCAGUAUGGAGUAGGAUAAUGUACUGUAUAUAGCAGGAUAAUGUGCUGUAUAUAGCAGUAUAAUACAGGAUAAUGUACUGUAUAUAGCAGUAUGGUGCAGGAUAAUGAACUGUAUAUAACAGUAUUAGCUUGGGUUUGGCCAUGAAGCAUGACACUCCACUAUAUCCUAUCCUACCUCCUUCCUACCGACAUCCUACCAGUCUCAACAGCUUCACUGGCAGAAAUGUUCUGUCUACUUGAUGUUUUCUGUUCUUAACCUGAAAAGCUGCUGACCAGCUAUUUGACUCCUGGUUUAUUGUUAUAAACACAGAGUCUGUGAGGGUCUUCAUACGUUUCUGGUUUAUUCAUCACGGUGUAGUGGAGGUUGUUAGUAAUGGGUGACUCUAGUUAUCUCUCUCUCUAGAGCUCUUUGGUAACAAACACACAAUGUUUUGGCGUGUGAAAGAAGGAUGUAGAAAAUAACCUCAUACCUACUGUAAAACAUUGUGGUGGAUCUGUGAUGUUAUGGGGCUGUUUAGCCUCCACUGGUCCUGGGAUCCUUGUUAAGGUCAACGGCAUCAUGAACUUUACCAAAUACUUGGACAUUUUAGAUAAAAACCUGGUUGUCUCUGCCAGGAGACUGAAACUUGGCCACAAGUGGAUCUUCCAGUAAGACGAUAACCCCAAGCACCCAUCAACAUCCACGAAGAAAUGGUUCAUUGACCACAAAAUCAAGUCUCCGAACUUUAAACAUAUUGAAAAUCUGUGGUGUGAAUUGAAGAGAGCCGGUCCAUAAGCACAGACAGAGGAUAUCAAGGAUCUGAAAGGAUUCUGUAUGGAGGACUGUUCUAAGAUCCCUCACAAUGUGUUCUAGAAUCUCAGAAAACAUUCUAGAAUAAGUCUCAGUACCUUUUGU
ensembl:lncRNA